CUCCUCUCUCUCUCUGUCUCUCUCUCCUGUGAUCUAGUGCCUCAGACAACAUUGUGGAAUGCACAAGGAGAAUAUAAUCCACAUCCCAUUCAGGUAGUGAUCAGAUUGUCAUGCCAGACUAGUGGGAGUCAGUAUGCGACCCAAAUUGCACCCUAUUCCCUACAUAGUGCACUACGUUUGACCAGACCCCAAUGGGCCCAGUAACACAAACACUGUCAGCUCAUCUGGCCCUGUAACGCAAUCACUGUCAGCUCAUCUGGUCCCUGUAACGCAGUCACUGUCAGCUCAUCUGGGCCCUGUAACGCAAUCACUGUCAGCUCAUCUGGGCCCUGUAACGCAAUCACUGUCAGCUCAUCUGGGCCCUGUAACGCAAACACUGUCAGCUCAUCUGGGCCCUGUAACGCAAUCACUGUCAGCUCAUCUGGGCCCUGUAACGCAAACACUGUCAGCUCAUCUGGGCCCUGUAACGCAAUCACUGUCAGCUCAUCUGGGCCCUGUAACGCAGUCACUGUCAGCUCAUCUGGGCCCUGUAACGCAAACACUGUCAGCUCAUCUGGGCCCUGUAACGCAGUCACUGUCAGCUCAUCUGGGCCCUGUACCGCAGUCACUGUCAGCUCAUCUGGGCCCUGUAACGCAAACACUGUCAGCUCAUCUGGGCCCUGUAACGCAAUCACUGUCAGCUCAUCUGGGCCCUGUAACGCAAUCACUGUCAGCUCAUCUGGGCCCAGGUAGAGAUGAGUAAAUACAACUUGUGGAGUGAGGGACUGAAAUAAUGUGUUGCUCUGUAGUCAAUGUAAUUAGAUGUUUAUCUGGAGUUAAUUUAAUUAGAUGUUUAUCUCAAGUGAAUUUAUACCUGAAUCAUCUACAGGGAGAGAGGGAGGAGGGGACAGGUGGAGAGAGAGAUGGAUGGAUGAGCAGGGAGAGAGGGAUAGAGAUAGGGAUGGUUGGAGGUGGAGAGAGGGAAGUAGAGAGACUGAUGGAGGGAGGGGUGUAUGAGCAGGGAGAGCCGGGUAGAGAUAGGGAUGGAUGGAGGUGGAGAGAGGGGGGUAGAGAGACUGAUGGAGGGAGGGGUGUAUGAGCAGGGAGAGCCGGGUAGAUAUAGGGAUGGAUGGAGGUGGAGAGAGGGAAGUAGAUAGACUGAUGGAGGGAGGGGUGUAUAGAUGUAUGAGCAGGGAGACAGCGUAGAGAUAGGGAUGAUAGAGGUGGAGAGAGGGGGGUAGAGAGACUGAUGGAGGGAGGGGUGUAUGAGCAGGGAGAGCCGGGUAGAGAUAGGGAUGGAUAGAGGUGGAGAGAGGGAGGUAGAGAGACUGAUGGAGGGAGGGGUGUAUAGAUGUAUGAGCAGGGAGAGCCGGGUAGAGAUAGGGAUGGAUGGAGGUGGAGAGAGGGGGGUAGAGAGACUGACGGAGGGAGGGGUGUAUAGAUGUAUGAGCAGGGAGAGCCGGGUAGAGAUAGGGAUGGAUGGAGGUGGAGAGAGGGGGGUAGAGAGACUGACGGAGGGAGGGGUGUAUAGAUGUAUGAGCAGGGAGAGCCGGGUAGAGAUAGGGAUGGAUGGAGGUGGAGAGAGGGGGGUAGAGAGACUGAUGGAGGGAGGGGUGUAUAGAUGUAUGAGCAGGGAGAGCCGGGUAGAGAUAGGGAUGGAUGGAGGUGGAGAGAGGGGGGUAGAGAGACUGACGGAGGGAGGGGUGUAUAGAUGUAUGAGCAGGGAGAGCCGGGUAGAGAUAGGGAUGGAUGGAGGUGGAGAGAGGGGGGUAGAGAGACUGACGGAGGGAGGGGUGUAUUCUCCUGUGUGUGUUUGGCCCCCUACCUCUUCCUUGGUGACCUAGUGAGUUAUGGUUUUCUGGGCAGGACCACUGGGGCUUUUGCUAUGGGCCAUCUUUAACUACCUGCUCUGUCAUAGUAUGGAGGCCAGGUACUGUAAGUGUUCAUGUUUAUGGGAUGUGAUGGAGGCCAGGUACUGUAAGUGUUCAUGUUUAUGGGAUGUGAUGGAGGCC
rnacentral:lncRNA from 1 species